AGGCACUGAACCCUGAUACGCACUUGCUAGCUCCUCAGAAGGUAUAGACUACACGUUGUCUUAAAAAAAGCAGCUGCAACACAAAGCACCAGCCCUGUGCGAGGGGUAAAGCCAAGGAGCUGUCGGCUUCCACUCACAUUGCACCAAAGUACGGCAUCCCUCCAGAAAGAAGAAUAACAAGUGGAGGAGUCUGAGCACGGCCAGCGUUAGGCAUGUGGCUUCACAGGGCUGCACAGCCACCUCCUUGUGAAAUUCUGAGCAUCCCGUGAGACCGUUAGGGAAGCCAGCAGAUGUUCGUGCUUUGAAUAGUGCAUUUCGUUGUGACCGUACGAGCACGGUUCUCGGCGGUUUAACUGUCCCUGCGUGUUUGUGCCGUGCAGGUCCUGCACCCGUCUCCCUUCCCAGGGCAUCCCGCCCCCCGCCGUGCCACCGCUGGGCGACGGCGAGCCGCGGGAGCCCGGAGUCCGGCCGAGGCUGCCCCGCUGUGCCCCAACACGAGGGCUCAGGCUGCGGCUCAGGCAGCCAAACACAAUAUCCAUUUCCUUUCAUAACCCCCAUCAUUCUUGUGCCUGAUCUCUGUCUGUUGAGGCAGGCGUGUUAGUGAUUGCUGUACGAUAUGUCUGAACACCCUCUACUGUGACUUCCCUUACGAGCAUGUUAUUUCCAUUACGCAGAAUUCACACCUUUGUUUGUUUGCCCAGGAGCUCUGAUUUUCCCCAGAACUGCCAGUUGGUCUUGCUAUUUUUUUUUCCCCUGGAUCCCACUGACUUCUAUAUAUAGCACAAUACUCUUCACGUCCUCAAAAAUCUACUGCCUUUUCCAGUGAAGCAACUGCGUGCCAAUCACAGCCCAAGAGUGGCUCGGAGGAAACAGUGGCUUCCCGAGGGGCUAUGGAAUAUGCACAAAAAUGUGUGCUCUGUUUUUCUAAGGGCACCUGCCAGAACCCUGUUGUUGGAUCAAAGCACACAUCAAAUAUUUGGCAUCAGCCAUAUCCCUCCCCGAACACUUCCACCUGCAAGUAGUAUAAUAUGCUAUUUUUAAAUAUUUAUUCCAUUCAUUUGUGUCUACGCAUAAAUAAAACUCUCCCCCCCCCGCAGUGAACGCUGAAUAUCUGCACGCUGUUGGCUCACAGCUAACUCUUUGAUUCCUCAAGCAAUGAGCUGAUCUAGUUUCUCUUUCAAUUCUGCCUUUGGGCAAGAAAAACUUUGCAAGAGUUAUGAAUCAACUCUAUUUGAAGCUACCCCGCUUCCUGGAAAAUGUCCUCAAGCACAUCUUCCUGGGCAUCAGUUGCCAGACUUCCCUCUGAGUGUGCCCCUUUGCUGGAAAUUUGUUUUGCCACGGUUCAGCAACAAGGACAUCUUUUGCAAUUAGUUUUUCUUUUCUGAUUUGCUCAAAACAGAAGGAACGUUCCUGAGAGGUCCUUGUGUAUCCAAAGUGAAACUUUGGCAUUUGGGGGGGGGGGGGGGGGGGGGUACCUCCUCCUGGAUUUAGAUGCCUUAAUUUCACCUAAAUAUGUAAGGACCUGAGGAUCUGCAUCUCAAACUAAGUGGUUCAGCACCCGUAUUUCUCUCCCUAGGUCGGUCUGUGCAGCUACAGGUACAAUUACAAGGUUCCUUUGGCUGAUAAAGCCAUGCUGCAGCUCAGACAGUGGUCUUGCCCUUUCCAGCUCCGAGGUGUCAUCCCCCAGAGACGUGCUCAUGCCACUUUCCCACUGUUGACUCCAGCAAUUUUGUAACCAAGAGCCAUCUCCGUGCUGCUGGAAGUCCAUCCGAGAUUGAGGUACCCUUUAGUUCAAGCCGCAUAGAUAACCUGACAGAACUGAAGAGAGAACAGAUGCUGAUGAAUUCUGAACGUGUACUGAUGGUCCCUGGCCUUUCUGCAACCCACUUUCCAUGACGUUGUGGCUGACAGUUUGGAAAUAAUCAGCCUACACUGUCAUCACUGGUCGUACUUCAGCUGAAAUGCCACGGCAGGUACAACACAUGUACAUUCUCAGGCAAAAAAACAACUUACUUUCAAAGGACCACUUGUUG